rnacentral:snRNA from 1 species
GUGCUCGCUUCGGCAGCACAUGUACUAAAAUUGGAACGAUACAGAGAAGAUUAGCACGGCCCCUGCACAUGGAGGACACGCAAAAGGGGGAAGUGCUCCACAUUCUU